UACGUAGGGUGCGAGCGUUAAUCGGAAUUACUGGGCGUAAAGCGUGCGCAGGCGGUUGUGCAAGACAGAUGUGAAAUCCCCGGGCUCAACCUGGGAACUGCAUUUGUGACUGCACGGCUGGAGUGCGGCAGAGGGGGAUGGAAUUCCUGGUGUAGCAGUGAAAUGCGUAGAUAUCAGGAGGAACACCGAUGGUGAAGGCAGGUCUCUGGGCUGACACUGACGCUCAUGCACGAAAGCGUGGGGAGCAAACAGG
rnacentral:rRNA from 1 species